rnacentral:rRNA from 1 species
GAUGAACGCUGGCGGCGUGCCUAAUACAUGCAAGUCGAGCGAACAGACGAGGAGCUUGCUCCUCUGACGUUAGCGGCGGACGGGUGAGUAACACGUGGAUAACCUACCUAUAAGACUGGGAUAACUUCGGGAAACCGGAGCUAAUACCGGAUAAUAUAUUGAACCGCAUGGUUCAAUAGUGAAAGACGGUUUUGCUGUCACUUAUAGAUGAAUCCGCGCCGCAUUAGCUAGUUGGUAAGGUAACGGCUUACCAAGGCAACGAUGCGUAGCCGACCUGAGAGGGUGAUCGGCCACACGGGAACUGAGACACGGUCCAGACGCCUACGGGAGGGAGCAGUAGGGAAUCUUACGCAAUGGGCGAAAGCUUGACGGAGCAACGCCGCGUGAGUGAUGAAGGUCUUCGGAUCGUAAAACUCUGUUAUUAGGGAAGAACAAAUGUGUAAGUAACUAUGCACGGCUUGACGGUACCUAAUCAGAAAGCCACGGCUAACUACGUG